AACGAACGCUGGCGGCAGGCCUAACACAUGCAAGUCGAGCGCCCAGCAAUGGGAGCGGCAGACGGGUGAGUAACGCGUGGGAACCUUCCCAAUGGUACGGAAUAGCUCAGGGAAACUUGAGGUAAUACCGAAUAAGCCCGAAAGGGGAAAGAUUUAUCGCCAUUGGAUGGGCCCGCGUAGGAUUAGCUAGUUGGUGAGGUAAUGGCUCACCAAGGCGACGAUCCUUAGCUGGUUUGAGAGAAUGACCAGCCACACUGGGACUGAGACACGGCCCAGACUCCUACGGGAGGCAGCAGUGGGGAAUAUUGGACAAUGGGCGCAAGCCUGAUCCAGCGAUGCCGCGUGUGUGAAGAAGGCCUGCGGGUUGUAAAGCACUUUCAGUAGGGAAGAAAAGCCGAGUGCUAAUAUCACUCGGUCUUGACGUUACUUACAGAAGAAGCACCGGCUAACU
rnacentral:rRNA from 1 species